UACGAAGGGUGCAAGCGUUACUCGGAAUUACUGGGCGUAAAGCGUGCGUAGGUGGUUUGUUAAGUCUGAUGUGAAAGCCCUGGGCUCAACCUGGGAACGGCAUUGGAAACUGGCUUACUAGAGUGCGGUAGAGGGGGUGUGGAAUUCCCCGGGUGUAGCAGUGAAAAUGCGUAGAUAUCGGGGAGGAACAUCUGUGGCGAAGGCGACACCCUGGACCAGCACUGACACUGAGGCACGAAAGCGUGGGGAGCAAACAGG
rnacentral:rRNA from 1 species